GUGGGGAAUCUUGCGCAAUGGGCGAAAGCCUGACGCAGCCAUGCCGCGUGAAUGAUGAAGGUCUUAGGAUUGUAAAAUUCUUUCACCGGGGACGAUAAUGACGGUACCCGGAGAAGAAGCCCCGGCUAACUUCGUGCCAGCAGCCGCGGUAAUACGAAGGGGGCUAGCGUUGCUCGGAAUUACUGGGCGUAAAGGGCGCGUAGGCGGACAGUUUAGUCAGAGGUGAAAGCCCAGGGCUCAACCUUGGAAUUGCCUUUGAUACGGGCUGUCUUGAGUACGGGAGAGGUGAGUGGAACUCCGAGUGUAGAGGUGAAAUUCGUAGAUAUUCGGAAGAACACCAGUGGCGAAGGCGACUCACUGGCCCGUUACUGACGCUGAGGCGCGAAAGCGUGGGGAGCAAACAGGAUUAGAUACCCCUGUAGUCC
rnacentral:rRNA from 1 species